AUGGCGUCGGGAUCAAGCUCGCAGGGGCGGCAUGGCAAGGAGACGACGGAGGAGCUGCUAGCCAGGUUGAAUUUGCAGGAGGAGGAAGAUGAUGAUUUCGUGUGGGAGGAGGAGUUGCCAGAUCUGGGGGCGCCGGCGAAGUGGCUAGCCAUAGCCAGGGUACACACUACAAGGACUUUCAGCCCUAAUGCUCUUUAUGGGGACAUGCGUGCAGCCUGGAAUCCAGCGAAAACGGUGGUCUGAAGGAAGGGGAAGGACAACUUGUUCACAGCGCAGUUUGGUUGUCUAGGGGAUUGGAAUAAGGCCAUGCUAGAGGGGCCAUGGCUUUUCAGAGACCAAGCAGUGAUUUUGGUGGAGUAUGAUGGGUUCAAAAACCCUGAUAGCAUCAAGUUGGAUAAGUUGGCAGUUUGGGCGCAAAUCCAUCGUUUACCUGACAACUUUUUGAUCGAGCCUGCAGUCAGGGGGAUGGCAUCGUGA
rnacentral:rRNA from 1 species